AUUGAACGCUGGCGGCAUGCUUUACACAUGCAAGUCGAACGGCAGCGCGGGCUUCGGCCUGGCGGCGAGUGGCGAACGGGUGAGUAAUAUAUCGGAACGUACCCAAGAGUGGGGGAUAACGUAGCGAAAGUUACGCUAAUACCGCAUACGAUCUAAGGAUGAAAGCAGGGGAUCGCAAGACCUUGUGCUCCUGGAGCGGCCGAUAUCUGAUAGCUAGUUGGUGAGGUAAAGGCUCACCAAGGCAACGAUCAGUAGCUGGUCUGAGAGGACGACCAGCCACACUGGAACUGAGACACGGUCCAGACUCCUACGGGAGGCAGCAGUGGGGAAUUUUGGACAAUGGGGGCAACCCUGAUCCAGCAAUGCCGCGUGAGUGAAGAAGGCCUUCGGGUUGUAAAGCUCUUUUGUCAGGGAAGAAAAGGCUGUGGCUAAUAUCCACAGCUGCUGACGGUACCUGAAGAAUAAGCACCGGCUAACUACGUGUCAGCCGCCGCAGUAAAAC
rnacentral:rRNA from 1 species